CCGUGAGGGGCAGGAACGGGCUGGGCGGGGAGCGAAGGGAACAGCGCCGUCCCCAGCCCGGCCGGAGCGCAGGAGCAGCGUCGGGGAGGCGGAGUGCACGUUAUAGUGCUUCCAGUCUGGUUCUAAUUCUCUGCCACUGGCCGGGGCGCCUUCCACUAGACCAGGUUGCUCAGAGCCCCGUCCAAACUGGCUUUGAACGCCUCCAGGGGUGGGCUAGCCAGAGCUGCUCUGGCUGUACUUCAGACACUGGAAUGAGGUCUUCACACAAAUUUCUCAGCCUGCUGUCAUAGGCUGUGCUCCCCUUGUGCCACGGGCUGUAUGGAAAUGCUCAGCUAAGACUGGCGACACUGAGACUUCCACAGCUGACAGAAGACACUGAUCUCCAGCGAGGUUUUCACUGCUGUGCUUUGUAAACCUUGUCAUCAGGUCUGGCUGCAGCGGUGCCCAGAGCCACCCCGGUGCUACAGCUUUCCCUGAGCAAGGGCUCUGCAAGGGAGGAGUGAAAAGUGUUCUACAACACAACCACAUUUCGCAACAGUCCCUCAAGAGGGAAAGAGGAAUCAAAAUCAGUGCCUUUCAGGGUGUCUUUGUAGACUACAGAUGAAAAAGGCAUUUCAAGACCACAGACAGAGUAGCAACAAACCUCACUCCAGGUCCUGAUGAACGAAGCUUGAGCCCCAACUCGACUUACAGCUUUGCUAGGACGUGAGUCUACAACAACCAACUUACAUCAUGUUGAAGGAUCCAGAAAUACCUAAUGUUCCUUCCUCCAUGGAGACAAUACAACACUGGUUUGUGUUAUGAAGCAUUACUCCAGGCAAAGUCAUUUGAAGAACAAGUAACAAAAACCUCCAUUAAAAAAAGAAAGAUUCACAAAGCUAGCAAGUCACCUGGAAACACUUCUCUGUCAGUACAAGUUCUGUCAAAAGCCUCCACUGAAAAUCUCAAUGCAAGGCAAUGAAAUUUCGGACACACUAUAGAAGAUUCAGCAAAAAGCAUCCAAGUGUAAGCACUACAUGGCCAAUAAACACCAUUAUCAGAUUCAGUGCCUGUCACAGUUCAGCAGCUCAUAGAUAAAAGAUGUCAAAUCAAUUCUCUAACAAGUGGUUUGAGCAGAGAAACCAUUGCUGAUAACAGUAUCACACAAGGAGACACAGAGCCCAGUAUGCAUUUAUACUACACAAGCAUUAUUUUAUGGUUGAAAGCCCUGAAUCAGCC